rnacentral:rRNA from 1 species
AGUGAACGCUGGCGGUAGGCCUAACACAUGCAAGUCGAACGGCAGCACAGUAAGAGCUUGCUCUUACGGGUGGCGAGUGGCGGACGGGUGAGGAAUACAUCGGAAUCUACUUUUUCGUGGGGGAUAACGUAGGGAAACUUACGCUAAUACCGCAUACGACCUACGGGUGAAAGCAGGGGAUCUUCGGACCUUGCGCGAUUGAAUGAGCCGACGUCGGAUUAGCUAGUUGGCGGGGUAAAGGCCCACCAAGGCGACGAUCCGUAGCUGGUCUGAGAGGAUGAUCAGCCACACUGGAACUGAGAAACGGUCCAGACUCCUACGGGAGGCAGCAGUGGGGAAUAUUGGACAAUGGGGGCAAGCCUGAUCCAGCCAUACCGCGUGGGUGAAGAAGGCCUUCGGGUUGUAAAGCCCUUUUGUUGGGAAAGAAAAGCAGCAGGUUAAUACCCCGCUGUUCUGACGGUACCCAAAGAAUAAGCACCGGCUAACUUCGUG